CAAAGGUUUGUCACGCGUCUCUCCGCGGGUAAGAACAUCGCAAGGUAUAUAAUGAUAUCUAGAAAGGAUAAGGCAUCAGUGAAAAAAAUACUCUUAACAAUGGCAAGAUUCCUCUGCAUUUUUGUCCUGUGUGUGGCUCUGUUUGCCAACUACGGCGAAAGUUGUUGCUGUGGAAGCAGCAAGUCCUCCCACUCGUCCUCGUCCUCCUACCCCAUGUUCAUCCCCGUCCCCAUGUCUCACGGCAGCAGCGGCGGCGGCAGUCACACCAACUUCCUCCCCAUCAUCCUCACCACAGGCGGUUAAUCUGACAAGAUAGGAGCUGUACGACCCCAACUGAAGUCGACAUUGUCUGUAUUUUCAGGAGGUUUUUUUUACCACGGAAUAAAAGUAUCAAAAGACA